rnacentral:rRNA from 1 species
CCUACGGGAGGCAGCAGUGGGGAAUAUUGGGCAAUGGGCGCAAGCCUGACCCAGCAACGCCGCGUGAGGGAAGAAGGCUUUCGGAUUGUAAACUUCUGUUCUCAGGGACGAAGGGAGUGUCGGUACCUCAGGAGUAAACCGCGGCUAACUACGUGCGAGCAGCCGCCGUAAUACGUAGGUGGCAAGCGUUAUCCGGGUUUGUUGGGUGUAAAGGGCGGGUAGGCGGGAAAGCAAGUCAGAUGUGAAAACUCAGGGCUCAACCUUGAGACUGCCUUUGAAACUGGUUAUCUUGAGUGCUGGAGAGGAAAGCGGAAUUCCGGGUGUAGCGGUGAAAUGCGUAGAUAUAUGGAGGAACACCAGUGGCGAAGGCGGAUAGCUGGCCAGUAACUGACGCUGAGGCGCGAAAGCGUGGGGAGCAAACAGGAUUAGAUACCCCGGUAGUC